rnacentral:ncRNA from 2 species
UACGUAGGGCGCAAGCGUUGUCCGGAAUUAUUGGGCGUAAAGAGCUCGUAGGCGGUCUGUUGCGUCCGCUGUGAAAACCCAGGGCUUAACCCUGGGCUUGCAGUGGAUACGGGCAGACUAGAGGCAGGUAGGGGAGAAUGGAAUUCCCGGUGUAGCGGUGAAAUGCGCAGAUAUCGGGAGGAACACCGGUGGCGAAGGCGGUUCUCUGGGCCUGACCUGACGCUGAGGAGCGAAAGCGUGGGGAGCGAACAGG